rnacentral:tRNA from 1 species
GCCUGGGGUAGCUCAGUUGAUAAAGGAUGAGACUCUUUAUCUCAGGGUCAUGGGUUUGAGACCCAUGUUGGGCA